GUUUUGAAAUAUGCUUUUUUCCCUGAAAUUUAGGGUUGGCCGUAGAGAUUUUAUUCCAAAAAAUUCCUUAGCAGCACAUGGCAGAGUAUGUAGCUGAACAUUUGCUUGGCCCAUGAAUCAUAUACAUGAAGUUGAACUAUCUGUUGCCUCACUUUCGAUGUUCUGUGACCAUGAGUUCCAAAUGCUGAUUGUCUGUCUUCUGUUGAUUAAAGCUGUUGUUUAACAAUGAACAUGUUAAAUUUGCUUGAAAUGAGAUCUAUGCUUGGAGUUUGGUGUUAUAGUUCAAAAAAAAAAGAUUUAAACCAUUUAACUUCAUGGCAAUUUUUUUUGUUUGUUUGGGUCUCUGAAAUAAAAAAGAGUAAAGAAUUCCUUGCUUUAGGUUUUGCUCUUCUGAAUUCGUUGAUUGUGAUGUAGUGUAUCUACUGCUCAUACGUCUCUGAACUUGGACGGUGUUAGAGUAUUAUUGAAAUGUUAAUAGGCACGGAGAUAUGAGUUUGAUUUCGUUUUUAAAAUUUGUAAAUCUUUGAUAAUCGUUGGCUCUGCAGUGCUUCUUUAAUUCUUUCCAUUUAGUGGUCAAAUAUGUAUAAUACAUUUGUUGUCCAGAAAUUUAUAAACAUUGAAGUUAAAGGUGAAGAUCUAGACUAUUUGUGGUUUAUUGUUAAAUGAUUGUGUAUGGAUAUAAAGCUUAUACAGUUGCUUGUAAAUUGCAGUGAGCGUAGCUUUCUUUUUAAUUCACUGUGGCCCAUUCCAUAUAUAAGAAUGCAAAUCUGACUAGUGGUGUAGAUGUUGGGGUUUUUUUUACUUGAUAAAACUUUUAGUUGUUCAUGGCAUCAAAUAUUUGUUUUAUUUUACAAAGCUUGUAAGUAUAAAAUGACCAUGAGAUUGAUAACA